CUACGGGCUGCUGCAGUCGAGGAAAUUUUACAAUGCUCGAAAGAGUGAUAGAAUGAGUCAGAGUGUUUCUCUUAGAGAAACUUUUAUCUGUUGUAAAAAGACAGAUGAAUAAGGACUGGGAAAGACCGGUGCCAGCCGCCGCGGUAAUACCGGCGGUCCAAGUCGCAUCCACAUUUAUUGGGUCUAAGACAUCCGUAGCUUGUUUUAUAAGUCUCUUGUGAAAUUCUACAUCUCAAGUGUAGAGCGUGCAAGAGAUACUAUAUUACUAGAGACUGGAAGACGCAAAGAGUAUGAUUAAGGUAGCGGUAAAAUGUGUUAAUCUUAAUUAGACUAACAAUAGCGAAGGCACUUUGAGAGUACAGAUCUGACAGUGAGGGAUGAAGGCUAGGGGCGCGAAAGGGAUUAGAUACCCGCGUAGUC
rnacentral:rRNA from 1 species